UACGUAGGUGGCAAGCGUUAUCCGGAAUCAUUGGGUUUAAAGGGUCCGUAGGCGGUUUAGUAAGUCAGUGGUGAAAGCCCAUCGCUCAACGGUGGAACGGCCAUUGAUACUGCUGAACUUGAAUUAUUAGGAAGUAACUAGAAUAUGUAGUGUAGCGGUGAAAUGCUUAGAGAUUACAUGGAAUACCAAUUGCGAAGGCAGGUUACUACUAAUUGAUUGACGCUGAUGGACGAAAGCGUGGGGAGCGAACAGG
rnacentral:rRNA from 1 species